UUCGACACACUAUCAUUAACUGAAUCCAUAGGUUAAUGAGGCGAACCGGGGGAACUGAAACAUCUAAGUACCCCGAGGAAAAGAAAUCAACCGAGAUUCCCCCAGUAGCGGCGAGCGAACGGGGAGCAGCCCAGAGCCUGAAUCAGUGUGUGUGUUAGUGGAAGCGUCUGGAAAGGCGCGCGAUACAGGGUGACAGCCCCGUACACAAAAAUGCACAUACUGUGAGCUCGAUGAGUAGGGCGGGACACGUGGUAUCCUGUCUGAAUAUGGGGGGACCAUCCUCCAAGGCUAAAUACUCCUGACUGACCGAUAGUGAACCAGUACCGUGAGGGAAAGGCGAAAAGAACCCCGGCGAGGGGAGUGAAAAAGAACCUGAAACCGUGUACGUACAAGCAGUGGGAGCACGCUUAGGCGUGUGACUGCGUACCUUUUGUAUAAUGGGUCAGCGACUUAUAUUCUGUAGCAAGGUUAACCGAAUAGGGGAGCCGAAGGGAAACCGAGUCUUAACUGGGCGUUAAGUUGCAGGGUAUAGACCCGAAACCCGGUGAUCUAGCCAUGGGCAGGUUGAAGGUUGGGUAACACUAACUGGAGGACCGAACCGACUAAUGUUGAAAAAUUAGCGGAUGACUUGUGGCUGGGGGUGAAAGGCCAAUCAAACCGGGAGAUAGCUGGUUCUCCCCGAAAGCUAUUUAGGUAGCGCCUCGUGAAUUCAUCUCCGGGGGUAGAGCACUGUUUCGGCAAGGGGGUCAUCCCGACUUACCAACCCGAUGCAAACUGCGAAUACCGGAGAAUGUUAUCACGGGAGACACACGGCGGGUGCUAACGUCCGUCGUGAAGAGGGAAACAACCCAGACCGCCAGCUAAGGUCCCAAAGUCAUGGUUAAGUGGGAAACGAUGUGGGAAGGCCCAGACAGCCAGGAUGUUGGCUUAGAAGCAGCCAUCAUUUAAAGAAAGCGUAAUAGCUCACUGGUCGAGUCGGCCUGCGCGGAAGAUGUAACGGGGCUAAACCAUGCACCGAAGCUGCGGCAGCGACGCUGAUGCGUUGUUGGGUAGGGGAGCGUUCUGUAAGCCUGUGAAGGU
rnacentral:rRNA from 1 species